rnacentral:rRNA from 1 species
AAACUCGGCAAAUUGACACCGUAACUUCGGAAGAAGGUGUGCCCUACUAGUGUGAAGCGAACAGCGGAGCAUGAAAGGGUUGCAAAGAAUCGGUGGCUGCGACUGUUUAUUAAAAACACAGCACUCUGCAAACACGAAAGUGGACGUAUAGGGUGUGACGCCUGCCCGGUGCUGGAAGAUUAAAUGAUGGGGUGCAAGCUCUUGAUUGAAGUCCCAGUAAACGGCGGCCGUAACAAUAACGGUCCUAAGGUAGCGAAAUUCCUUGUCGGGUAAGUUCCGACCUGCACGAAUGGCGUAACGAUGGCCACACUGUCUCCUCCCGAGACUCAGCGAAGUUGAAAUGUUUGUGAUGAUGCAAUCUCCCCGCGGAAAGACGGAAAGACCCCAUGAACCUUUACUGUAGCUUUGUAUUGGACUUUGAACAGAUCUGUGUAGGAUAGGUGGGAGGCUUUGAAGCAGGGUCGCUAGAUCUUGUGGAGCCAACGUUGAAAUACCACCCUGGUGUGUUUGAGGUUCUAACCUAGGUCCAUUAUCUGGAUCGGGGACCGUGCAUGGUAGGCAGUUUGACUGGGGCGGUCUCCUCCCAAAGCGUAACGGAGGAGUUCGAAGGUACGCUAGUUACGGUCGGACAUCGUGACGAUAGUGCAAUGGCAUAAGCGUGCUUAACUGCGAGACUGACAAGUCGAGCAGAUGCGAAAGCAGGACAUAGUGAUCCGGUGGUUCUGUAUGGAAGGGCCAUCGCUCAACGGAUAAAAGGUACUCUGGGGAUAACAGGCUGAUACCGCCCAAGAGUUCAUAUCGACGGCGGUGUUUGGCACCUCGAUGUCGGCUCAUCUCAUCCUGGGGCUGUAGCCGGUCCCAAGGGUAUGGCUGUUCGCCAUUUAAAGAGGUACGUGAGCUGGGUUUAAAACGUCGUGAGACAGUUUGGUCCCUAUCUUCCGUGGGCGCUGCAGAUUUGAGGAAGCCUGCUCCUAGUACGAGAGGACCGGAGUGGACACACCUCUGGUGUAUCGGUUGUCACGCCAGUGCAUUGCCGAGUAGCUAUGUGUGGAAGAGAUAAACGCUGAAAGCAUCUAAGCGUGAAACUCGUUUCAAGAUGAGGUCUGCCGGGGCCUUGAGCCCCCUGAAGAGUCGUUCGAGACUAGGACGUUGAUAGGCAGGGUGUGGAAGCGCAGUAAUGCGUUAAGCUAACCUGUACUAAUUGCUCGUGUGGCUUGACCCU